UACGGAGGGUGCAAGCGUUAAUCGGAAUUACUGGGCGUAAAGCGUACGUAGGCGGCUUGUUAAGCAAGAUGUGAAAUCCCCGGGCUCAACCUGGGAAUGGCAUUUUGAACUGGCAGGCUCGAGUUCUGAAGAGGGUGGUGGAAUUCCCAGUGUAGCGGUGAAAUGCGUAGAUAUUGGAAGGAAUACCGGUGGCGAAGGCGGCCACCUGGUCAGAAACUGACGCUGAGGUACGAAAGCGUGGGGAGCAAACAGG
rnacentral:rRNA from 1 species